rnacentral:rRNA from 1 species
CAGAUCCAGCUUGCUGGAUGCUGACGAGCGGCGGACGGGUGAGUAAUGCAUAGGAAUCUGCCCGAUAGUGGGGGAUAACCUGGGGAAACCCAGGCUAAUACCGCAUACGUCCUACGGGAGAAAGGGGGCUCCGGCUCCCGCUAUCGGAUGAGCCUAUGUCGGAUUAGCUGGUUGGUGAGGUAACGGCUCACCAAGGCCACGAUCCGUAGCUGGUCUGAGAGGAUGAUCAGCCACAUCGGGACUGAGACACGGCCCGAACUCCUACGGGAGGCAGCAGUGGGGAAUAUUGGACAAUGGGGGCAACCCUGAUCCAGCCAUGCCGCGUGUGUGAAGAAGGCCCUCGGGUUGUAAAGCACUUUCAGCGAGGAAGAACGCCUAGCGGUUAAUACCCGCUAGGAAAGACAUCACUCGCAGAAGAAGCACCGGCUAACUCCGUGCCAG